UACGAAGGGGGCUAGCGUUGCUCGGAAUGACUGGGCGUAAAGGGCGCGUAGGCGGUUUGUACAGUCAGGUGUGAAAUUCCCGGGCUCAACCUGGGGGCUGCACUUGAUACGUAUGAACUGGAGUGGGGAAGAGGGUCGUGGAAUUCCCAGUGUAGAGGUGAAAUUCGUAGAUAUUGGGAAGAACACCGGUGGCGAAGGCGGCGACCUGGUCCUUGACUGACGCUGAGGCGCGAAAGCCAGGGGAGCGAACGGG
rnacentral:rRNA from 1 species